UUGGAGGGCAAGUCUGGUGCCAGCAGCCGCGGUAAUUCCAGCUCCAAUAGCGUAUAUUAAAGUUGUUGCAGUUAAAAAGCUCGUAGUUGAAUUUCGGGGUCAAUAAGUUGGUCGUGCCAAUGGUAUGCACUGGCUUUAUUGAUUCCUACCUCUUGACGAACUGUGAUGCCAUUAAUUUGGUGUCGCAAGGAAUCAGGACUGUUACCUUGAAAAAAUUAGAGUGUUUAAAGCAGGCUUACGCUUGAAUACAUUAGCAUGGAAUAAUGAAAUAGGACGUUUGAACCUAUUUUGUUGGUUUCUAGGAUCGACGUAAUGAUUAAUAGGGAUAGUUGGGGGCAUUAGUAUUCAAUUGUCAGAGGUGAAAUUCUUGGAUUUAUUGAAGACUAACUACUGCGAAAGCAUUUGCCAAGGAUGUUUUCAUUAAUCAAGAACGAAAGUUAGGGGAUCGAAGACGAUCAGAUACCGUCGUAGUCUUAACCAUAAACUAUGCCGACUAGGGAUCGGAUGAUGUUAAUUUUUUAAUGACUCAUUCGGCGCCUUACGGGAAACCAAAGUGUUUGGGUU
rnacentral:rRNA from 1 species